rnacentral:rRNA from 1 species
AUGGUGACAGUCCCUCUCUGUGGGUUCGUUCUUUACCACAUCUGCAUGUCUGCUUUCUUCACCAAAGAUAUGCAGCCAAGCCAAACUGCAAUUGAGGCAAAGCAGAGGCUAUUUCAAGGACCUCCCCUGCCAAUUUUUUGUAUUCUUGUGCUAAUCCCCAAGCGGGUGACAGGAGCGGAUGACACAGGGGCCGCCCCUCACCCGAUCACGCGUGUCGGCGAUGUAGCCUCCAUCCUACUUCUCCUCCUCCGCCGCCCUACUUCUCCUCCUCCGCCGCCCUACUUCUCCUCCUCCGCCGUGGCUGGAAAGGGAACGGCUGGAUACAAACGAAACAAAGGAUCACGGGUUGAAUACAACGAAGUGCAAGGUCCUUUUUGUAAGAACGAAUCGUUUUCUCAUAUCCACUUAAAAGGGGACUGCGGGCUAAUUACCAAAAACACAAGGGCUUUUAUGCAAAAUCGCGCGACGACGUACAGGCAGAAACCCAAUUUUCUUUAUUAUUAA